rnacentral:lncRNA from 1 species
UCUUUACUUUUGCUAUAACUAUUUGUAAUGAUCACAAACCUAGUAUCCUUUUCCUCUUAAUCAUAGUUACAUGGGAUUUGAAUGGCGUCAUGGAAGUAGCACUGACCUCGGUCAGCCCAACUCCACUGUUUCCAAGCUAUGCCAAAAUACCAGAAAAUCAUUUAUUUAUGUGAUUUCUUCAUCCACAAAAUGAGGAGAUUGGCUCAGAGAAUAUCGAGGAUUCCUGCCAGCUUCACUAAGCUGUUGUGUAUUAGGAGUUGUUUUCAACCAACAGACAAUGAAAGGUAAGUGAUCAUUUACAUGUCUUUUAUUUUAUGUCUCUCAAGCACAGUGUUUUUGCA